rnacentral:rRNA from 1 species
AUACGGAGGAUCCAAGCGUUAUCCGGAUUUAUUGGGUUUAAAGGGUGCGCAGGCGGCCUUAUAAGUCAGUGGUGAAAUCUCCCGGCUCAACCGGGAAACUGCCAUUGAUACUGUAAGGCUAGAAUACAGACGAGGUAGGCGGAAUGUAGCAUGUAGCGGUGAAAUGCUUAGAUAUGCUACAGAACACCAAUCGCGAAGGCAGCUUACCAGACUGUAAUUGACGCUAAGGCACGAAAGCGUGGGGAGCGAACAGGAUUAGAUACCCGAGUAGUCC